AGAACGAACGCUGGCGGCAGGCCUAACACAUGCAAGUCGAACGCCGUAGCAAUACGGAGUGGCAGACGGGUGAGUAACGCGUGGGAACAUACCCCCCGGUUCGGAAUAACUCAGGGAAACUUGAGCUAAUACCGGAUACGUCCGAGGUUUAAUCGGCUUCGGAGAAAGAUUUAUCGCCGGAGGAUUGGCCCGCGUCUGAUUAGCUUGUUGGUGAGGUAAUGGCUCACCAAGGCGACGAUCAGUAGCUGGUCUGAGAGGAUGAUCAGCCACAUUGGGACUGAGACACGGCCCAAACUCCUACGGGAGGCAGCAGUGGGGAAUAUUGGACAAUGGGCGAAAGCCUGAUCCAGCCAUGCCGCGUGAGUGAUGAAGGCCUUAGGGUUGUAAAGCUCUUUGCCCGGGAAGAUAAUGACGGUACCGGGAGAAUAAGCCCGGCUAACUUCGUGCCAGCAGCCGC
rnacentral:rRNA from 1 species